GACGAACGCUGGCGGCGUGCUUAACACAUGCAAGUCGAACGGAAAGGCCCUGCGUUUGUGGGGUGCUCGAGUGGCGAACGGGGGAGUAACACGUGAGUAACCUGCCCUUGACUUUGGGAUAACUUCAGGAAACUGGGGCUAAUACCGGAUAGGAGAUCCUGCUGCAUGGUGGGGGUUGGAAAGUUUCGGCGGUUGGGGAUGGACGCGCGGCUUAUCAGCUUGUUGGUGGGGUAGUGGCUUACCAAGGCUUUGAAGGGUAGCCGGCCUGAGAGGGUGACCGGCCACAUGGGGACUGAGAUACGGACCAGACUCCUACGGGAGGCAGCAGUGGGGAAUAUUGCCCAAUGGGCGGGAGCCUGAUGCAGCAACGCCGCGUGCGGGAUGACGGCCUUCGGGGUGUAAACCGCUUUCGCCUGUGACGAAGCGUGAGUGACGGUAAUGGGUAAAGAAGCACCGGCUAACUACGUG
rnacentral:rRNA from 1 species